UAUAUCACCGGUUCUCGUACGAUCACCGAAGUUAAGCAACGUCGAGCCUGGUCAAUACCUAGAUGAGUGAACGCUUGGAAAUAUCGGGUGUUGUAA